rnacentral:rRNA from 1 species
AGAAUCAACGCUGGCGGCGUGCCUAACACAUGCAAGUCGAACGAGAAAGUGGAGCAAUCCAUUAGUAAAGUGGCGCACGGGUGAGUAACACGUGACUAACCUACCCUUGAGUGGGGGAUAACCUAGAGAAAUCUGGGCUAAUACCGCAUAAUACCUUCGGGUCAAAGGAGCAAUUCGCUUAAGGAGGGGGUCGCGGCCGAUUAGUUAGUUGGCGGGGUAAUGGCCCACCAAGACUAUGAUCGGUAUCCGGCCUGAGAGGGCGCACGGACACACUGGAACUGAAACACGGUCCAGACUCCUACGGGAGGCAGCAGUGGGGAAUUUUGCGCAAUGGGGGAAACCCUGACGCAGCAACGCCGCGUGGAGGAUGAAGCCCCUUGGGGCGUAAACUCCUUUCGAUCGGGACGAUAAUGACGGUACCGAGAGAAGAAGCCCCGGCUAACUUCGCGCCAGCAGCCGC